GGCUGCGGACCCGGAGAGACGCCGGCACCGGAGUCCGGGCUCAGCGUUUUCUGCAUGGCGAGCCGCGCCUUCGCUGAGCUUUGAGCCUCGGUUUGCGCGGCUGCAAGUGGGUGUAGGCAGGCGGCGGACCCGAUUUCCCCGACUCCGCGCCGUGCGCGGGCGAGGCUGGCGGCACCUGGCCGGUGCAGAGUUAGCGCAGCAGGCGUUGAGCUUCAUGAGGUCAGCACCCACGUCUUCUUGGUCCAUCGCCCUGCAGACCCGGCCCCGCCAGCACGCGGUGUGAAUGGUACCUCAUGUGCCUUAGGUGAACAGAAAGAGUCUGCUGAGGGCGAGGAUCAUGGACUUCAUCACCUCCACGGCCACCGUGCCCCUGCUGUUGGGCUGCGUGGGCGUCUUCAGCCUCUGCAAGCUGCUGCAGUGGCUGCGCACGAGAGCCGACGUCCGGAACGCCGUGGUGGUCAUUACCGGCGCCACGUCGGGCCUGGGCCGAGAAUGUGCCAGAGUUUUCCAUGCUGCCGGUGCCAAGCUGGUGCUCUGUGGCCGGAAUGCUGAGGCCCUGGAGGAGCUCACCCGAGAACUUGCUGCUUCCCGGGCUACCGAGGUGCAGACUCACAAGCCUUCCAUGGUGACCUUUGACCUCACGGACCCUGGGGCCAUAGCGGGGGCCGCUGCAGAGAUCCUGCAGUGCUUUGGCUAUGUGGAUGUGCUCAUCAACAACGCCGGGAUCAGCUACCGCGGCACCAUUGUGGACACCAGCCUGGACGUGGACAAGAGAGUCAUGGAGACAAACUACUUUGGUCCGGUUGCUCUGACGAAAGCGCUCCUGCCCUCUAUGAUCAGAAGGCGCCAGGGCCACGUUGUCGCCAUCAGCAGUAUCCAGGGCAAAAUCAGCGUUCCCUUCCGAUCCGCGUGUGAGUACUUCCUUCUCCUUCCCACGUUCCCUUUACUGUUUUCUCCCUGUUAUAAAAACAACACGUUCACUGUCCAGAAUUCAGACGUUAGAGAAACACUCAGCACGGAACGUGCAGGGACGUCAUCAGCGUGUGCUCCUGAGCAGAGGCCUGGGCUCAGCCCCAGCUCUGCUCCUCGUGCCACCUGUGGCCCCCAUGCUGUGCCCCCCGAGUGUCGGCCCCCAGGUGCUGCCCCACCGCCACUUUACCGCAUGUGCCUCCAGAAUUCUUCUACAUGGGAUCAAAUGUGCAAAACUGGGGCACGUUACAUGUAGCUUUGUGGUUCGCUCAUUCCAUUUGACAGUGUCUUUCUGCAUCAGCACGUGUGGAUUUACCUAGUUCCUUUAAGUGGAUAUACAGUCGUUAAUCGAAUGGAUGUGGCGUAAUUUCCUUAGUAGUUUUCGUGACACGUGAGGAUUUGCGUCCCUUCAGUCGGUGACCAGUAGCAGUGAUGUGCUGUGUACAGCAUCCUUCAGCAUUUUUAUCUCUGGGCUCUCAUGGGAGGGUUUCAGUAAGAUUAGUUCCAAAAAGUGGACAUAGGACCAAAAAAUUAACGCUGCCAGCUUGACUUCCGUCCCAACUCUCACCUCCCUGCGUGAGUGGCUACGACAGAAUGUUGAGACUGCGCCAUCACGAGCACCAGCAAGCAGAUUCUACUUUUGUUAAAGGAUUUGAAAGAUGCUCAACGUAGCCACGGGAAGGGAGGGGAGGGGUGAAGCUGCCUCCACACCGUGAAAGGACGGCCACGCACACCCAGCUGGACGACUGGGAACCACCUGUCAGCCCGAACGCAGCGCAGCCAUCCUCCUGGUCCUCCUGGUGCUGGCUGUGUGUCUGGGUCAGCCGUGGGACUCGUCUGAGCCCGCACUGCCCCCUCCGCGGCUGUGCUCAAGACAACGUGAGACACCCGCCGUAUCGUGCUUGUUUCUGGGGCGGUUAUCCCUGUGCCAGUUCUCUGUUUCACUUCGCUGGCACAGGACAGCCUCCUGAGGAAUAGAUAUGCAGGCAUCACAUGUGACAGAGCAGACGAGGCAAUAAUAGGGAAAAGGGUAUACAGGGUAAAGGAGUUCUUUGUAAA